rnacentral:rRNA from 1 species
UAUGUAGGGGGCUAGCGUUGUCCGGAAUCAUUGGGCGUAAAGAGCGUGUAGGCGGCCCGGUAAGUCCGCUGUAAAAGUCAAAGGCUCAACCUUUGAAUGUCAGUGGAUACUGCCGGGCUAGAGUCCGGAAGAGGCGAGUGGAACUCCUGGUGUAGCGGUGGAAUGCGCAGAUAUCAGGAAGAACACCAACGGCGAAGGCAGCUCGCUGGGACGGUACUGACGCUGAGACGCGAAAGCGUGGGGAGCGAACAGG